AGGGCCCGGAGGCGGGGCUAGUCACAAGGGCCCACGGUUUAGUCAAGCAUAGUGAUGAAGUCUGCGGUUUACAGUUUGAGUCGCUGAGGCCACGCGGGUGCUGGCAGAGAGGCCUGGAAGCUCUCCUCCCCAGCGUACCUUGCCUGGAGCAUCUCUUCCGGCUGUUCCCGAGCUCCCUUGUGAAAACUUGAAUCUGCUCACCUGCGGGUCGAAAAGGAACGGGGAUCAGUCUGCUACUGUCAGGGUGCACUGUUGACUUCACAAGAGCAAACAAAAGGGGAGUGAAGGUCAAAACUGUUCAAUGCCACAUGGACAGAAAAGCAAGCAGCCAGAACAUUAAAAAGUCCUAAAUCUCAGACCUUGGAGAGGACUCAAGGCCAACACCUUAUCCUUCAGACCACGCAAGCAGAAUCUCUUCAAGGCAACCACAUCCAACCUUGAACCAGGCACGGUAGACGUACCCUUCGGUCCUCCAAGUCACAGUUUCCAUGAGGAUAGUCUUAUGUGUCACUCACAUCCAGAGCUCCCAGCUUCCCAGACCGCUGCCACCUCCCCCCGCAAUUCUCUGAUGUCAGCUGUCUCCAAGCCAUCACCCGCAGACUCCUGUCUCCCUAAUCUAUCAGAGAGGACCACUAUUGUGAGUUCAAGCCCUCAGCCACACGUGGUUUAGACCCUGGUCUCUCACUCGGGACAGCUGAGCCAUUCCCUGAACAGCUCACCUCACCUGCAGUUUGGUCCCUCUGAUCCCUCGCUACAUGGUGACCAAAGAGACCUCUGAAACACAAGCCUCGCCACCUCACCCUGCAGGCUAAAUGCAAACCCCUAUCAUCUGAAUGGCACACAGGCCCUUCAGGAACUACCUGGUUCCCGCAUUAAAAAGUUGCAGCACUGACCAGACUACCUGCUCCCUGCCCUGGGCUUUGCUUACAGCCCCUUCUAUCUGACUUUUCCUAUCUGCCUCCUCCCUUAGAACCCUAGGUCAAGGUCUGUGACCACCUCUGCCAGUCUGUCCUCCAUGACCAGGGAUAACUGUUUUGAUCCCUUUUGAACUGCCAGCACCUGGCCCAGAGCUUGGAUUUACCUGUCAGCGUUUGCUUACCCCCCUUCCAGUCUAACAAGCUCGUUCUGAAGGAAUAAACACAUGAUAAUAUA